rnacentral:lncRNA from 1 species
UGGAAGAAGUCUCCGUUUUUUGUUUUUUUUUGAGACAGAGUCUCCCUCUGUCGCCCAGGCUGCAGUGCAAUGGCGCCAUCUCGGCUCGCUGCAAGCUCCGCCUCCUGGGUUCACGCCAUUCUUCCUCCUCAGCCUCUAGAGUAGCUGGGAUUACAGGCGCCCGCCACCACCCCCGGCUACUUUUUUUGUAUUUUUAGUAGAGACGGGGUUUCACCGUGUUAGCCAGGAUGGUCUCGAUCUCCUGACCUAGUGAUCCGCCCGCCUCGACCUCCCACAGUGCUGGGAUGCCCGCCUCGACCUCCCAAAGUGCUGGGAUUACAGGCGUGAGCCACUGCGCCUGGCCGAAGUCUCCAUUUUAUGGACGUUUCUUUCACUUUUCAUCUGGGAGGAGGAAGGGCUAAAUCAGGAGAGGCUUUUACCAUAGAGAAGGUAACAUUGUCAUGGCUCCUGGCACCUCUGGGAUCUAGCUGAAGAAGUAAUGUAAAGACAGCAUGUCAAAUGGAAGAAAAUAUUUGCAAACUAUUCAUCUAACAAGGGACUAAUAUCCAGAAUACACAAGGAAUUCAAACAACUCAAAAGUAAGGAAGAUAAUAAUAAUCCCAUUAGAAAGUGGGCAAAGAACGUGAAUAGACAUUUCUCAAAAGAAGACAUACAAGUGGCCAACAGGUAUAUGAAAAAUGCUCAACAUACCUAAUCUUCAAGGAAAUGAAAAUCAAAACAGAAAGAGAUAUCAUCUUACCCCAGUAAGAAUGGCUAUUACUAAAAAGACAAAAACAGUGCUGAAAAUUUUCAUGGAGAUGGAGCAAGAUAGCCAAAUAGAAGACUCCAGCAAUCAUCCUCCCAAAAGGCACAUCAAAUUGAACAGCUAUCCACACAUAAAAGUGCCUUCAUAUGAACCAAAAAUCAGGAAAGAGAACAAGCACUGAAAAAAAAACCAACAGAAUAUCUGAAGACUGUGGGACAACUGCAAAAUCUCUAACAUCUCUCUAAUGAAAAUUCCAUAAGGAGAAAAGAAACGAUAGGAACAGAAGAAAUAUUUGAAACAAUAAUGACUGAGAUUUUCCCCAAAUGAAUGUAAGACAGCAAACCAGAGAUCCAAGAAGCUCAGAAAACACAAAGCAAAAUAAAUAUAAAACAAAACAAAAACUCCAAAUGAUGCCUAGGCAUAUCAUUUUUAAACUAUAAAAAAACAAACAAGAAGAAAAAAUCCUGAGAGCAGUCAGAGGAUAGAGACACUUUACCUCUAAAACAAUAAUUACAUCUGACUUCCCUUGCACUUUUCAGUGCAAGCAAGAAAAGAAUGGAUUGAAAUAGUUAAACUGUUGAUAGAAAAGAAACACCAACCUAGAAUUCUGUACCAUAAAAAUUAUCUUUCCAAAGUGAAAGAAAAAUAAAGACUUCCUCAGACAAAUAAUAAUUGAUGAAAUUUGUUGCCAGUAGCUGCCUUGUAAUAAAUAGUAAAGAAAUUUCUUUAGAAAGAAGGAAAAUUUUAUAGGUUAGAAACCUGAAUGAAGAAAGAACAUCAAAGAAGGAAUAAAUGAAGUAAAAUUAAAACUUAUUUUUCUUACUCUUAAUCUAACAAAUAAAAUUUUGUUCAAAAUAAUAAUGGCAAUAAAUUCAAUUAUAUAUUCUAUUAUGUAUGUUGAUAUAUACAUAAUUGAUAUGGUUUGACCCUGUGCCCCUACCCAAAUUUGACCUUGAAUUGAAGUAAUCCCCUUAUGUCAAGGGCAGGACCAGGUGGAGAUAAUUGAAUCACAGUGGCGUUUUCCCCCAUACUGUCCUCAUGAUAGUGAGUUCUCAUGACGUCUGUUGGUUUUAUAAGGGGCUUUCUCCCCAUUCACUCUGCACUUCUCCUUGCUGCUGCCAUGUGAAGAAGGAUGUGUUUGCUUCCACUUUUGCCAUGAUUGUAAGUUUCCUGAGGCUUCCCCAGAUAUGCUGAACAUGAAUCAAUUAAACCUUUUCUCUUUAUAAACUAACACAGUCUCAGAUAUGUCUUUAUUAGCAGUGAGAAUGUACUAAUACAAUAAUCAAGUAUAUUGUACUUAUAUAUGUUUAUGUGUAUGUGUAUAUAUACACAAAUGAAAUAAAUGACCACAAUGAUACAAGGGAUGGGGAGGAAUCAGGAUUAUUUUGUUAUUAGAAGGUGCUCACAUUACACAUAAAGUGUUUUAAUGUUAUUUAAAAGUGGAUUUGGGUUCCUUACAAAUGCCUAUGACAAACUCCACAGCAACCACCAUAAAAGCUAAAGAACAGGAUGCAUAACUGAUAUGCUAAGAGACAGAGAAAAUCGAAUUAUAUCAAGUGUUCAACUGAAUACCACAAAGCACAGAAAAAGAGUGGAAAACAAAAACAGACAAAAAGAACAAGGGAAACAAAUAGAAAAAGUAACAAAUAUGGAAGUUGUUAACCUAAACAUAUCAAUAAUCACUUUGAACACGUUAAACAACAGAGGUUGUCAGAGAGGGUCAAAAAAUGAGACCCAGUUAUAUAUAUUCUACAAGAAACCCACUGUAAAUAUAAAG